rnacentral:rRNA from 1 species
UACGUAGGGGGCAAGCGUUGUCCGGAAUCAUUGGGCGUAAAGAGCGUGUAGGCGGCUUGUUAAGUCUUGCGUGAAAUCUCGGGGCUCAACCCCGAGCGGUCGUGAGAAACUGGCAGGCUAGAGUGCGGGAGAGGAGAGUGGAAUUCCUGGUGUAGCGGUGAAAUGCGCAGAUAUCAGGAAGAACACCCGUGGCGAAGGCGGCUCUCUGGGACGGUACUGACGCUGAGACGCGAAAGCGUGGGGAGCGAACAGG